rnacentral:lncRNA from 1 species
AAAACCUCAAAAAAAAUACUAUUCUAUUGCUCUUUUGCUUGAAUUCUAAGAGUAUUUUUGCACAUCUGAAUCAAUCCUUGUUCAUCUAAAGGUUCAGAAUGGAUUAAAUAUCAGCUCUAAGGUCUGAUUCAGAGGUGUUGGGUUUGCAUUUGGUCGAAAUUACCCUGGGGGUAUACGUGUUUGGGUUUGAUUUGUUCCAAAAACUAGUUUGCUUUAGUCCUGGUUCAAAUGUGCUUGCCCUUUUUUGGGUUUUUGAUAUUUGAGUUGUUUGAGUUGUGUUGCUACUGGUUCAAAGCUACUGAUGACUGUUAUUUGCUGCUGCUGACUUUCCUCCCUUCUUCCUUUCCUUAAUUUUCAGGUGCAUUUUUGGUCUCAAAUGAUAUCUGAAGAUUGAAUCCCAAUGUAUGACCAGAUUUGAAGAUAGUGCUAAAAUGUUCAUGACCUUAUUUUAUGAACUUUCUUCCUACUAUUUUACUUUUAUUUGGGUGUCAAUCAUGUUUAUAUAUAGCUUUAGUUUGCUCACAUCUUGUUAAUUCAGGUAUUGUAUUUAGUUAGGAUUUGAGAGUUACAAAAGCCGAACCUUUUAAGGAAUGUAAUAAUUGGACUGUUGGGACUCAUGAAUAUCCAUCUAGUAGUGUUAGAUUAAGCUUAAUGCUUUAAGUCUAGCUAUCAUGAUUAGUUGAAUGAUUAAAAUUGGAAUAUAGCGUGG